GAUGAACGCUAGCUACAGGCUUAACACAUGCAAGUCGCGGGGCAGCAUGGGGGUUGCUUGCAAUCCCCGAUGGCGACCGGCGCACGGGUGAGUAACGCGUAUCCAACCUGCCCUUCACCACGGGAUAACCCGGCGAAAGUCGGACUAAUACCGUAUGUUGUCCAUUGACGGCAUCCGAUUUGGACGAAAGGUUUGGCGGUGAAGGAUGGGGAUGCGUCCGAUUAGCUGGACGGCGGGGUGACGGCCCACCGUGGCGACGAUCGGUAGGGGUUCUGAGAGGAAGGUCCCCCACACGGGAACUGAGACACGGUCCAGACUCCUACGGGAGGCAGCAGUGAGGAAUAUUGGUCAAUGGGCGUAAGCCUGAACCAGCCAAGUAGCGUGCAGGAUGACGGCCCUAUGGGUUGUAAACUGCUUUUAUGCGGGGAUAAAGUGGCCCACGUGUGGGUUUUUGCAGGUACCGCAUGAAUAAGAACCGGCUAAUUCCGUG
rnacentral:rRNA from 1 species